ensembl:piRNA 21ur-9377 ncRNA
UUUUACUACAACCAGUUUGAA